UGUUAAAAUUUUAUCCAUUUGUACUGCUAAAAAUUGUUGUGGUUAACAGAAUAACUUAACAGUGACAUAUUGCGUAUUGCAUGUACCUCAUGCUGGUAUAUAAGAACUAGUUUUUAAUAGCAAAAUGAAUGAGACUUUUAAUU
rfam:Gossypium hirsutum cultivar TM-1 chromosome 12, whole genome shotgun sequence